UUCGGAUGUAAGUCUUUUAUUGAGAGAAAAUAGUGUAGAAACUAUAUUGACGUUAUUCAAUGAAUAAGCCCCGGCUAACUAUGUGCCAGCAGCCGCGUAAUGCAUAGGGGGCGAGCGUUAUCCGGAACAAUUGGGCGUAGAGGGUGCAUAGGCGGCUUGAUGAGUCACUAGUUUAAUUUCAGCGCUCAACGCUGUCCUGCUAGAGAAACUGUCUUACUAGAGUGAGAUAGAGGCAAGCGGAAUUCCAUGUGUAGCAGUAAAAUGUGUAAAUAUGUGGAGGAACACCAGAGCCGUAG
rnacentral:rRNA from 1 species